UGAGAAUGAUUACCAGUAUGCAAAUGUCAGGAGGUUUUUAAACAUAUGAAUUUGAUGUUUAUUUCUUUGUUUGGCUUUCUAGGCUUUAGUAAGCAAGAACAGUGCUGUGAUCGAAUGGCUAAGAAUCUGAGUGCUGGAACUUGCCUAGGUGGAGUCAGGUCACAGCUCUGCUAUUUUUAGUUCUGGGACCUCAGAUAUGUGACACACCAGUUCUCUCACCUUUAAAAUAGAGAUGAUACUGAUAUCUACCAUUUGAUUUAUUGAGGCUUCUUGUGGGAAUUACAUAAAUGAAUAUAUGUAAAUUACUUAGAGUAGUGCUUGGCACACAGCAGGCACUCAACAAAUACUAGAUAUUACACACAAUAAAAAAAUCCACCCCCCCUAAGAUAUAUACAUUUGGAAAUUGUUUUCUUCAUCCUUCUUUUAUAGUAUGUUAUUUGGAGUCUCUUUUUUUCCCUUUUGGUGUUUAGAGGGACUUUCGUCAAAAAUGAAAAGAAUGCCCUCAUUUUGGUAAAUAGCAAGAUGGAGGUAGUACAUUGGGUGCUUCUCUCCCUGAGGAUUCUUCCUGGCUUAGUUCCUGCCUGUCACUUUUGUUCUGAGGAUUUCAGUUUCCCCAUGCACCAAAAACACAGAACAGAUGUUAGGAGCUGAGUUAAUGGUGGCCCAUAACACUGAACACCUUGACUGAUAGGUUCAAAAGCUUCCUCCUAGCAAUUCAAUAGUGCCAAGAAUGAGUGAGCCAAGAGGGAGAGUUAUGGCCCUUUGCAAACCCAUAAGGAGUAGCUCUCAGUCUGCGCUUGACCAGUCUGAGGGUUUAGAAGACUGUUUUGUGGUACAGCUGAAUCCCCAGUGUGCUGUGUUCCCAGGGAAGAAAACCAAUAACAACAGAUCCCACAACUCAUACCAUUUGCUAAAUGGGCUUCCUCGCAAGUGGGGCUCUGGGAGGAAUCUCACAAUUUCCUGCCGCUUUGUCUCUGAAGGGUGGAGCAAUUUAAACUGUUCAAGAGAAAUCCAACUGGCCUCCAUGAGUACUUGUGAAAGAACUUGGAACUGCCACUGGAGGUCAGCGAGCAUCAUGUGGAAGGUGUUGGAAGAAGGGAGAAGACGCCUGUUGCCAGUCCUCAAAGGUAGGGCCUAGAGGCUGAGCCAGGGCACCCGCUCCAUUUGCCUUUGUGCCUGCUGUUUGGCUUGGCAAAGGCAGGCUCCUUUGCAGGAGGGAAACGGUUUCUACAUUGGUCCACAGAUGAAAAGGAUAUGGACUUAAAAGAAAGGAGGAUUGAGUUGUUCUAGCUAAAUAGGUUUGGUUCAUUUCCCUAAGACCUCCCAAAACACAUUGAUAUUUUCAUAAGAAUGAAAUGAAGGCAGUGAUGACAAAGAGGACUAAAAUUAUAACUGCUGUCUGAAUUGCCAGUUAGUAUAAUAUUUACUUAUUAAUGCUCCUGAAAUUGUGCUGUGAAGCUGGAAAAUUCCAAUAAGUCAUCUAAUCUAUCUUCCUGGUGGUACAGGAUCACCAACCUACUAUUUAUGAAAGUUUAGGUAACAGAUUGAAAAUUUUCUAAGUUUAUGAAGGAAAAAUAAUUUUGGGUAAUCCAAAAGGAGACACUUGGAGGAAAGCAUCACCACCGGGCAGCCUUGUCCUAUAAUUAAAUGUUUUUGUCAAGGAGCUCAUAGUCUAAAGUAAUAGUCAAGGAACAUACACUUAUCUUUUGGUGUUUGAUCAUUCAUAUGUCAAAGUGUUAUCAAAUGUGUUUGUG
ensembl:lncRNA